GAUGAACGCUGGCGGCGUGCCUAAUACAUGCAAGUCGAGCGAACAGACGAGGAUCUUGCUCCUCUGACGUUAGCGGCGGACGGGUGAGUAACACGUGGAUAACCUACCUAUAAGACUGGGAUAACUUCGGGAGACCGGAUCUAAUACCGGAUAAUAUAUUGAACCGCAUGGUUCAAUAGUGAAAGACGGUUUUGCUGUCACUUAUAGAUGGAUCCGCGCCGCAUUAGCUAGUUGGUAAGGUAACGGCUUACCAAGGCAACGAUGCGUAGCCGACCUGAGAGGGUGAUCAGCCACACUGGAACUGAGACACGGUCCAGACUCCUACGGGAGGCAGCAGUAGGGAAUCUUCGGCAAAGGGCGAAAGCCUGACGGAGCAACGCCGCGUGAGUGAUGAAGGUCUUCGGAUCGUAAAACUCUGUUAUUAGGGAAGAACAAAUGUGUAAGUAACUAUGCACGUCUUGACGGUACCUAAUCAGAAAGCCACGGCUAACUACGUG
rnacentral:rRNA from 1 species